UCUUUCUCUCUCUACCUCCUCAUUUCAUUAGUUUUCUCUUUUCUCGAUCUCUCAUUAUUUCUGCAUUUCUGAUCCUUGAUCAUAGACUGUGAGUUUUCCUUCUUAUUCCACGAUCCAUCUAUUAGACUACAUAUAAACAUAUAUUUUUCAUCUUUUUAAGGAAUUAUGCAUAUCUACAGUUUAUUCUUUUUGGGCUUUGUUAUUAUUGUCUUAAUAUUUUGAUUUUAUGUAAAUAAUUGCACGUUUGGUUUUGGUUUCCCUAAUUCAUGAACUCACGGUCUCCUUCGUUUGUUUGAAGACGUCGAGCUUCAGCACUACUGCUAACUACUAGGGAUCCCCAAGAGAAAACGAGUUUCUUGACAGUGGAAAUUGUUGACAAUUCUUAAGUAGACACUAUGGGUGGUGGGCUUCGCUCAAACGUGAAGAGGUACGCUGUCAAACGCUCCACAACUUUGGAUGCUGACACAAUGCAUGAGAACGAGAUCGUCGAUAGCAGUUUGAGUGAACCCCGGGGUUCCAAACCGGCCGAAGAAAAACUUGUGCAUGAGAACGAGAUCGUCAAUAGCAAUUUGAGUGAGCCCCGGGGUCCUAAACGGGCCGAAGACUUAUGUGCAGUUGUUCCUGCCAAGUGACAGUGCAGAGUGGCACAACAACUCAAUUAAAAGAUGAUACUUAUGCGAGAAAUAAAAAGUUAGUGUCGAAUUUGGAUGCAAACAAUCUAACUGGAUUGUUCUGCUACUUGGCACUACCACGUGCCAAAAAUAGCUCCCACACAAGUUUUUCUUCAACCCGCUGAUGGUGCGGAUAAGAAUCCAUUGCAACAAAGAAACAUGUUUGUGUAGUAUUUCCCUAGUUUUGAAAAUCGAACUCUAUGUUCCAAGACUUUAAGUUUCAACUAUCAUGUAUAACUAGCAAAAGUGUUCGAGCGAAGCUACAGCGUUUUUAAACAAUGUUUGAAAUGAAGAAAUCUAAGCAAUGUUUGAAAUGAAA